rnacentral:rRNA from 1 species
UCGAGGGGCAGCAUGGUCUUAGCUUGCUAAGGCUGAUGGCGACCGGCGCACGGGUGAGUAACACGUAUCCAACCUGCCGUCUACUCUUGGCCAGCCUUCUGAAAGGAAGAUUAAUCCAGGAUGGGAUCAUGAGUUCACAUGUCCGCAUGAUUAAAGGUAUUUUCCGGUAGACGAUGGGGAUGCGUUCCAUUAGAUAGUAGGCGGGGUAACGGCCCACCUAGUCAACGAUGGAUAGGGGUUCUGAGAGGAAGGCCCCCCACAUUGGAACUGAGACACGGUCCAAACUCCUACGGGAGGCAGCAGUGAGGAAUAUUGGUCAAUGGGCGAUGGCCUGAACCAGCCAAGUAGCGUGAAGGAUGACUGCCCUAUGGGUUGUAAACUUCUUUUAUAAAGGAAUAAAGUCGGGUAUGCAUACCCGUUUGCAUGUACUUUAUGAAUAAGGAUCGGCUAACUCCGUGCCAGCAGCCGCGGUAAUACGGAGGAUCCGAGCGUUAUCCGGAUUUAUUGGGUUUAAAGGGAGCGUAGGUGGAUUGUUAAGUCAGUUGUGAAAGUUUGCGGCUCAACCGUAAAAUUGCAGUUGAAACUGGCAGUCUUGAGUACAGUAGAGGUGGGCGGAAUUCGUGGUGCAGCGGUGAAAUGCUUAGAUAUCACGAAGAACUCCGAUUGCGAAGGCAGCUCACUAGACUG